CUGAAAUUUGGGCAAGGAUUUGGGU
rnacentral:piRNA from 1 species